ensembl:lncRNA
AUAGCUAUAAAUCUUCUAUACACACAAAAAAAAGGCCUAAAGGGGUUAGUCUACUGGAGCCGUGUGACAUCUCAGUUUCAUCCCUUUCUCCCUUGUUUACUUCAUUCAUCAGUCAUCUUUUCUUCAGAUCUCUCUGUCUUCACUCUGGUGUCAUCUGUUCUCUUUUUUCCCUGCGACCAUAGAAACUCAGUCACUCACCCUCAUCGAGUCCGAACCAGAUAUCACACCAUCGAUACGCCUUUCCAGGACCACAGACAUUACAAUGGUCCCAAUCACGUUCCCUCACCGUGGCCCGAUCACAUCAUGAACGGAUCCUCGGACGAUUACAGGAACUGUCCCAAGAUCGAAAUCGAGCCUUCAACAGACGCAGAAAGAGAGGAUCAUAUACCAGAGUUUCCAGUUAGCCACGAGCCAUUUGAGGAGGAUUUGAGGUACGCUCGUGCCACCGUGGACAGGCAUUACAGGUCGAGGUCGGCCGACCAGCGCCCGAUGAUGGAGAGACAGUUCUACACGCGCUCGCGCUCGUCCGAGCGUCCUGAACCGUCCUACAUGAGGUCAUGCCGUCUUUACCCUCCAGGAGAUCCGCCCCUCCCUCUCCUGCCUUAACGAGGUGAUCCUGACCAAUCACGGCGACUAACUCCAAGCCAUGCCCCACCCAUGUUUUUUAAUCGUUUACAGUGCUGUCUUUGAUUUUGUGUCGAUCUGUAGACUAGAAACGUGGUGGUGGUUGUUUCCAAAC